rnacentral:rRNA from 1 species
AUUGAACGCUGGCGGCAGGCCUAACACAUGCAAGUCGAGCGAGCGGCGGACGGGUGAGUAAUGUCUGGGAAACUGCCUGAUGUAGGGGGAUAACUACUGGAAACGGUAGCUAAUACCGCAUACCAUCAGAUGUGCCCAGAUGGGAUUAGCUAGUAGGUGGGGUAAUGGCUCACCUAGGCGACGAUCCCUAGCUGGUCUGAGAGGAUGACCGGCCACACGGGAACUGGGACACGGUCCAGCCUCCAACGGGGGGCAGAAGUGGGAAAUAUUGCACAAUGGGCGCAAGCCGGAUGCAGCCAGGCCGGGUGUAUGAAGAAGGCCUUCGGGUUGAAAAGUACUUUCAGAGGGGAGGCGUUACCCGCAGAAGAAGCACCGCCUAACUCCGUGCCAGCAGCCGCGUAAUUC